rnacentral:rRNA from 1 species
GUCUUUUUGAGAAUAAUUUAAAGUCUAACCUGCCCAAUGAUAAAUUUAAUGGCCGCGGUAUUUUGACCGUGCUAAGGUAGCAUAAUCAAUAGUUUUUUAAUUGAAAGCUGGAAUGAAGGGUUGGAUAAAAAAAUAACUGUCUUUAUUUUAUUUGAUUAGAAUUUUAUUUUUAAGUUAAAAAGCUUAAAUAUAAUUAAAAGACGAGAAGACCCUAUAGAGUUUAAUAUUUUAUAUUAUUUAUAAUUUAAGAAUUUAAUUUAUAAUUUUUAUUAAAUAUUUAAUUGGGGUGAUUAAAAAAUUAAAUUAACUUUUUUUGUGUAAAAACAUUAAUUAAUGAAAAUUUGAUCCAUAUAUAAUGAUUAUAAGAUAAAAUUACCUUAGGGAUAACAGCGUUAUUUUUUUUAAGAGUUCAAAUCGAAAAAAAAGAUUGCGACCUCGAUGUUGGAUUAAAAUUAAUUUUUGGUGUAGAAGCUAAAAAAUUAGGUCUGUUCGACCUUUAAAAUUUUACA